GGAGUUAACUCUUAGUUUGUUGUUUCCUUUCCUAGGUUGAUAUGUUUUCGAUUUCACAUACAAGAUGUUACUCGUGGACUGGACCAGGGUCUAGGGGGAAGAAUCUGAUUAUAUCCAAGUGAUGCUCCUUCAGUCACAGAAAUUUAAUUCUGGCAUGGUUUGUGAUUUUUUGUGUUCAGAUUGAUAUCUUGAAAUGAUUGCAGAGAGAAGCAUUCUCGGAUUUGAUGAAACUUAGAGAUAAACAAGAGAAAGUGGAGCGGGUUUUAUGAAACUUAGAGAUCCAUCUUCUGUUGCAGAUAUUAAUGAUUGGUUGUUUGUUGUUGUUAUUCCUGUUGGUGCAUAGGUACAAUCAUCUCUAACCUCGCAGAUGUGGUUCUUUCGUCUCUCUACAACAACAAAGCCAAGAAUGUGUUGCAGGCUGUGAGGAACAUUGG